GGUCAAGCGAACAAGCGCACGCGGUGGAUGCCUAGGCAGUAGGAGGCGAUGAAGGACGUAGUAGCCUGCGAUAAGCCUCGGGGAGCCGGCAAACAGGCUUUGAUCCGGGGAUUUCCGAAUGGGGAAACCCACCCGCGCAAGCGGGUAUCCGUUCCUGAAUACAUAGGGGGCGGAAGCAAACCCGGGGAAUUGAAACAUCUCAGUACCCGGAGGAAAAGAAAUCAAUCUGAGAUUCCGUUAGUAGUGGCGAGCGAACGCGGAACAGCCCGCUGACAUCAAGUGUCGGGACUUUAGAUGAACGGUCUGGAAAGGCCGGCCAUAGACGGUGAUAGCCCGGUAGUCGAAAAGGUUCUGGCAUGGGUCAGCAACGAGUAGGGCGGGACACGUGAAAUCCUGUCUGAAGAU
rnacentral:rRNA from 1 species